AGGUGCCUGCAGAUGUCAAGAACUGUCCUCCACAGCAUCCCUGUUCUUUACCUCCUGUCUCCAUGAUUAAUUCAAGCUGUUGGGAUCUCACAUUACCAUCAGGCUGUCACUGCACUGAGGGUCCCAAAUGGCUCCAGCCCAAGCAACAAAUUAAUCCAGGCUGCUGAGCUUCUGGAAGAUGAAGAACUGACCCAUCGGAAAAUAUACAGAUUGGAACAAGCAUAGCUUUAUUCUUCCCCUUCUCGGGAUGGACCCCAAC
rnacentral:lncRNA from 1 species